rnacentral:rRNA from 1 species
GAUGAACGCUGGCGGCGUGCCUAAUACAUGCAAGUCGAGCGAACAGAUAAGGAGCUUGCUCCUUUGACGUUAGCGGCGGACGGGUGAGUAACACGUGGGUAACCUACCUAUAAGACUGGAAUAACUCCGGGAAACCGGGGCUAAUGCCGGAUAACAUUUAGAACCGCAUGGUUCUAAAGUGAAAGAUGGUUUUGCUAUCACUUAUAGAUGGACCCGCGCCGUAUUAGCUAGUUGGUAAGGUAACGGCUCACCAAGGCAACGAUACGUAGCCGACCUGAGAGGGUGAUCGGCCACACUGGAACUGAGACACGGUCCAGACUCCUACGGGAGGCAGCAGUAGGGAAUCUUCCGCAAUGGGCGAAAGCCUGACGGAGCAACGCCGCGUGAGUGAUGAAGGUCUUCGGAUCGUAAAACUCUGUUAUUAGGGAAGAACAAAUGUGUAAGUAACUGUGCACGUCUUGACGGUACCUAAUCAGAAAGCCACGGCUAACUACGUG